UACGAAGGGGGCUAGCGUUGCUCGGAAUCACUGGGCGUAAAGCGCACGUAGGCGGAUUGUUAAGUCAGGGGUGAAAUCCUGGAGCUCAACUCCAGAACUGCCUUUGAUACUGGCGAUCUUGAGUCCGGGAGAGGUGAGUGGAACUGCGAGUGUAGAGGUGAAAUUCGUAGAUAUUCGCAAGAACACCAGUGGCGAAGGCGGCUCACUGGCCCGGUACUGACGCUGAGGUGCGAAAGCGUGGGAGCAAACAGGAU
rnacentral:rRNA from 1 species